CCCGUCACACCAUGGGAGUGGGUUGCACCAGAAGUAGCUAGUCUAACCCUUUCUUCAUUGAGAGGGGGACGGUUACCACGGUGUGAUUCAUGACUGGGGUG
rnacentral:rRNA from 1 species